UACUGAUCCUGGCUUACUUAAGUUUGUUGCUCAGACAGUUGAGAAAUGUCUGAAGAAUGCCUCUCCACACAUGAAUGGGGAGACUGUAGUAACUACUAAGAGGUUUUCUGCACACCAAACAGAAAGAUGGUAUAGACCCUUAAAGGGAAGCAGUGAUGCAAUGAAACAAAUCAGAAAAAAAAGAGCUAACAGAAUGGAACGCAAAGCAAUGCAAGAGCGUU